GACGAACGCUGGCGGCGUGCCUAAUACAUGCAAGUCGAGCGGACUGAUUAAGCUCUUGCUCUUUUCACGUUAGCGGCGGACGUGUGAGUAACACGUGUGCCAUCUGCUCUGCAGAUCGGUAUAUCACCGAGACAUCGGUUCUUAUACGGUAUAAUCUCUUAGUUCACAUUUUCUUUGGUUAAAAGAUGGCUCCUGCUAUUACUAUCGGAUCGUCCCGCGGCGCUUUAGGUAGUUGGUAAGGUAAUGGCUUACAAAGGUAACGAUGCGUAGCCGACAUGAGAGGGGGAUGGAGCACACUGGGACGGGGAAACGGCCCAGACUCGAACGAGAGGCAGCAGUAGGGAAUCUGCCGCAAAGGAGGGAAGUAUGACGGAGCAAGGCCGCGAGAGUGAUGAAGGGUUUCGGCUCGUAAAGCGAUGUUGUUAGGGAAGAAACAGUACCGAACGAGCUAGGUAGGUAGCGUGACGGUACCUAACCAGAAAGCCACGGCUAACUACGUG
rnacentral:rRNA from 1 species